AGCUCCAAUAGCGUAUAUUAAAGUUGCUGCAGUUAAAAAGCUCGUAGUUGCAUUUCCGAGGCAAGGGAUUAGUCCGACCUUUGGUGGGUAUUUAAUCCUCUUGCCUCGUCCUUGAGUGGUGCUUCUUGGUAUUAAGUUAUCGAGGAGAUAGCCGCUCAUCGUUUACUGUGAGAAAAUUAGAGUGUUCAAAGCAGGCUUAUGCCGUUGAAUAUAUUAGCAUGGAAUAAUAAGAUAGGACCUCGGUACUAUUUUGUUGGUUUGAGAACCAAUGUAAUGAUGAAUAGGGACAGUUGGGGGUAUUCGUAUUCAGUUGUCAGAGGUGAAAUUCUUAGAUUUACGGAAGACGAACUACUGCGAAAGCAUUUACCAAGGAUGUUUGCA
rnacentral:rRNA from 1 species